AUUGAACGCUGGCGGCAGGCCUAACACAUGCAAGUCGAACGAGUGGCGGACGGGUGAGUAAUGUCUGGGAAACUGCCCGAUGGAGGGGGAUAACUACUGGAAACGGUAGCUAAUACCGCAUACCAUCGGAUGUGCCCAGAUGGGCUUAGCUAGUAGGUGGGGUAACGGCUCACCUAGGCGACGAUCCCUAGCUGGUCUGAGAGGAUGACCGGGCAAACUGGAACGGAGGCACGGUCCAGAGUCCUACGGGAGGCAGCAGUGGGGAAUGUUGCACAAGGGGCGAACGGCUGAUGCAGCCAUGCCGCGUGUAUGAAGAGGGCCUUCGGGUUGUAGAGUACUAUCAGCGGGGAGGCGUUACCCGCAGAAGAAGCACCGGCUAACGCCGUGCCAGCAGCCGCGGUAAUAC
rnacentral:rRNA from 1 species